GCUCACCCACUCCCCCAAAUCCCUAGCCCGCGGCGGCGACGCACCUCCCCCUCACCUGCGCCAGUGACUCGGCCGCAUCGGUGCCCUUCUCCUCAGGUUUCGCCGCCUAGCCUUCUUGUCCGCGUCGCCUCUCCCUUUCACCCACAUCCUUUGCGCCACGGUCGAGCCAAAGUUGAUUAUUUUAGCGAGGUCGAGUAGGAGCCUGAGGAGCGUGAGCACGACGACCUUGUCAUGCUCGAUGACGGCGGCGACGAACCCUAGCGCUCCUCGUCGCCAUCGACCUACAAGGAGGAGCACCGUGUUGGACGUUGCCAUCCCUGACGCUGCUGGUCCGCUACGAGUUACCUGUCACCUGCUCCCAGGUCGCCCCCUAAGUCGAGCUCCCCACGCUCGACCUGCAAGAUGUGAUGUGGCCAAGAACUGCUCUCUGCCGCGGGAGUAGAUUGGAAAGGCAAGGCGCAAGGAGAGAUUGGAAAGGCUGCUGCUGCUCCUGGACGAUGCUGCUGCUGCCGCCGCUGCCUCUCGUCGAUUCGGGCAUGAGCACAUUCUUGGAGUGGAUUUGCAUUUCAGAAAGUUUACAAGUGGGAGUACAUGAAGUACUACAGUUUAAAUAGAGGAGAAGAUGGUGCCUGCUCCAUGAUGAUGCCGCCAUCAGCUACGAAUUCCUCGAACAUGGCGAGUACUCCAAUGCUUGUAUUCCUAUCAAUGUUUACUGCUGUAAUCAUGGAGUAGUUAGCUGAUGUAAUCAUGGCCGGAGAAAUGCACCAUUAGUUGGUAAGAAAUAAUGUCAGUAUGAAACCUCUCGAUAGUAA